AGUUUGAGCUUGAUCCAGAAGAUUACAUCACAUCAGUGAAAAUUUCUUACGAGAAACUCUUUGGAACACCAACAGAGAUCAUCACGGCUCUUGUCUUCAAGACAUUCAAAGGCAAAACUUCUCAGCCGUUUGGAAUGGUCUCUGGUCAAGAAUUUGAGCUAGGAGGCGGAAAAAUCGUUGGAUUCCAUGGAAGUGCGAGUGAUGUUAUUCAUUCUCUAGGAGCCUAUAUAGCUUCGUCAACCACGCCGGUGACUCCGCCGGAGUCAGGUGGUACGACCAAGUUGGAAGCUCAAGGUGGUCGUGGAGGAGAGAUUUGGGACGAUGGUGGUGCUUUUGAGAAUGUCAAGAAAGUGUAUGUUGGACAAGGUGACUCUGGUGUGGUUUAUGUCAAGUUUGAUUACGAAAAAGAUGGAAAAAUUGUAUCACGUGAACAUGGGAAGAAGACAUUACUUGGAACAGAGGAGGUACAUAGAAUUUUGUGUUCUUGAAAUUGCUUAAAAGGUUAUUUUUUUUUCUUUUUUUCUUUUCUAAAUAAAAGAACAUUCUUGAUGCUUCUUUUCUUUAUUUUCAGUUUGAGCUUGAUUCAGAUGAUUACAUCACAUCUGUGAAAGUUUACUACGAGAAACUCUUUGGAACGCCAACAGAGAUCAUCACGGCUCUUAUCUUCAAGACAUUCAAGGGAAAGACUUCUCAACCGUUUGGAAUGACCUCUGGUGAAGAAACUGAGCUAGGAGUCGGAAAAAUCGUUGGAUUCCAUGGAACUGCGAGUGAUGUGAUCCACUCUCUUGGAGCUUAUAUUGUCUCAUCGUCCACACCAGUGACUCCUUCC
rnacentral:lncRNA from 1 species